AAGCUCUCCAGUCUCAACGGAUAUUUGCUUCGUUCGCAAAAUUUUAACUUUAAACCACCGAUAAAAGAGUUAUACUCAAAGCAGUCAUAGCCAGAGCCAAAGAAAUGGUUCGUAAACGUUUUCAAGAAGCUAAAACAGGCUUUGAAUAUCUUAAAACGGUGAAUUACGACAAGUACCUUAGGAAAGUAGGAUUGGGAAAAGAAGACUGGUACUUUUGGAAGCAAGUGGGCAAGGCUUUGCUCUGCACCUACACACUAUUUGGGGUUGCGUGGCUCUACAACGAAACAUCGCCGCUUGGUUGGUGGACGCUAAAGCCAAAGCCAAAGGAGGAGCGAGAGCUAGCUCACUUGUAUGAGAGGCGAGAGUUCCCAUAUCCAGGCGACACAGAAGCCAUGGAAGAGUUCAUUGCCAAGGGGGGAAUGAUCGGCACGACAAUUGGACCCAAAGGGAUUGUGGAAACGGAUAAAGAUGCGUAUAAUUAUCAGAAAGAGUUGCAGAACAAGAAGUUUGAGCAAGAGGCGCAGAAGCUGUGGCUGAGGAUGAGGAAUGAAGUCAUACAAGAGCUUCAAGACAAAGGGUAUGAUGUUGAGUGAGAAAGCCAUUAAGGACAAUCAUGGUAUGGGAGUUAAAGUGUUUGAUGGAAGCUUUUCGGUUGUGGGUUUGUGCUUGUGUACGUUUGAAUGCCUGAUGAAUGUUUGUGUUGAUGACAAGACUGAAUUGUGCACUCCUGUCUGGCAUGAUUUCCCCAAUAUGAUGUUUCAAAUGGAAAAGAGAGACAAUUGUGUUAAAGCAUUAGUAUUAGCAUGCAUGGUUUGAUGAUUAACUGUAACAGCAGAGUCCCUGUUAGCAACUGUGAUGCAUCAUGUAUGAAUAAUGGGUAGUCAUUAGAUUUUUUAUGCUUCU
rnacentral:misc_RNA from 1 species